UAUGCCGUGGCUUAGUUGGUUAAAAGCGCCUGUCUAGUAAACAGGAGAUCACGAGUUCGAAUCUCGUCGGUACCUUCUUAA